AUUGAACGCUGGCGGAAUGCUUUACACAUGCAAGUCGAACGGCAGCACGGACUUCGGUCUGGUGGCGAGUGGCGAACGGGUGAGUAAUAUAUCAGAACAUACCUUGUAGUGGGGGAUAACUAUCCGAAAGGAUAGCUAAUACCGCAUACGCUCUAAGGAGGAAAGUGGGGGAUCGCAAGACCUCAUGCUAUAAGAGUGGCCGAUAUCUGAUUAGCUAGUUGGUGAGGUAAAGGCUCACCAAGGCGACGAUCAGUAGCUGGUCUGAGAGGACGACCAGCCACACUGGAACUGAGACACGGUCCAGACUCCUACGGGAGGCAGCAGUGGGGAAUUUUGGACAAUGGGGGCAACCCUGAUCCAGCAAUGCCGCGUGAGUGAAGAAGGCCUUCGGGUUGUAAAGCUCUUUUGUCAGGGAAGAAACGGUUGUGGCUAAUAUCCAUGGCUAAUGACGGUACCUGAAGAAUAAGCACCGGCUAACUACGUGCCAGCAGCCGCAGUAACAC
rnacentral:rRNA from 1 species